rnacentral:rRNA from 1 species
AUUUGGCGGACGGGUGAGUAAAGCAUCGGAAUAUAUCCAUUAGUGGGGGAUAACGCAUCGAAAGGUGUGCUAAUACCGCAUACACUCCACGGAGAAAAGCAGGGGAUCGCAAGACCUUGCGCUAAUGGCUUAGCCUAUGUCCGAUUAGCUAGUUGGUAGAGUAAAAGCCUACCAAGGCGACGAUCGGUAACUGGUCUGAGAGGAUGAUCAGUCACACUGGAACUGAGACACGGUCCAGACUCCUACGGGAGGCAGCGGUGGGGAAUUUUGGACAAUGGGGGAAACCCUGAUCCAGCCAUGCCGCGUGGGUGAAGAAGGCCUUCGGGUUGUAAAGCCCUUUCGGGAGGAAAGAAAAACAUUGCUCUAACACAGUAAUGUCAUGACGGUACCUGCAUAAGAAGCACCGGCUAACUACGUGCCAGCAGCCGCGGUAAUAAU